UACGGGGGGAGCAAGCGUUGUUCGGAUUUACUGGGCGUAAAGGGCCAGUAGGCGGCCAACUAAGUCCGACGUGAAAUCCCAAGGCUUAACCUUGGAACUGCGUCGGAUACUGGAUGGCUUGAAUUCGGGAGAGGGAUGCAGAAUUCCAGGUGUAGCGGUGAAAUGCGUAGAUAUCUGGAGGAAUACCGGUGGCGAAGGCGGCAUCCUGGACCGACAUUGACGCUGAACGGCGAAAGCUAGGGGAGCAAACGGG
rnacentral:rRNA from 1 species